CGAAGGGGGCGAGCGUUAUUCGGAAUCACUGGGCGUAAAGCGUGCGUAGGCCGUCUAGCAAGUUGGAAGUGAAAGCCCAGGGCUCAACCCUGGAAUUGCUUUCAAAACUGCAAGACUAGAGUCCGGGAGAGGAUAGCGGAAUUUCCAGUGUAGUAGUGAAAUACGUAGAUAUUGGAAGGAACACCAGUGGCGCAAGCGGCUAUCUGGACCGGUACUGACGCUGAGGCACGAAAGCGUGGGGAUCAAACAGGAUUAGAUACCCUGGUAGUCCACGCUGUAAACGAUGUGAGUUUGGCGCUGGGGAGUUUACUCUUCGGUGCCGUAGCUAACGCGAUAAACUCACCGCCUGGGAAGUACGGCCGCAAGGUUA
rnacentral:rRNA from 1 species